rnacentral:misc_RNA from 1 species
GACCUACCUACGCAAGAAAAUUUAUAGCGUAAAUAAUGACUUCAUUAUCAUUUUACUAAAACUCGUAUUCAUACACACAAGCACCUCCACUAUAUCAUGUCUCUCUGCAUCAAAAUGAGAUUCCCUUUACACCACAGUUUCUCCAAAAAAAUUACUCUUUUAUAUAAGUUACAAAAUUGAAGUGACUUCGGAAAUCCACAUGCUUCUCUGCUCUCUAGCAUGUUUCAAAACUUGUACUUCAAUCUCCUAACUGCUCUUUUCAAUCACUUAACUGUCGUCCAACAAGAGACGGUGGUUGUAGUGCUCUUUUGUACGUCCAAGCAGCAGACAGUUUCAACCGCAAGGCAAUCUCUGAAUUGGACACAGUAACAUGCAAUGAUCUGUUCUCCAGCACUAUGGAGGACUCUGGAACCAUGUCAAGAGUAGCUCCAUGACUGCUGAAUUUAAUUCAAGUAAGACUGCUCUCAACAUAUUCCAUUGCUUUCCUUUUCACAACCUCCAUUCGUUCAUCAUCACCAUGCAUCUUUUCGUACUCAAGAUACUUCUUAAAGAGGAACUUCAUCUUUUUGGGUGGAAGGCUGAGAGUAAUUGCCCUUUCAAAUAAGGCACGGAUCACAUCUGCAUUUCCCAGACGAAUCUCCUGAUCAAGAUAUACGCUCCACAGAUCAGUUCUCUUCGGAUAUUCACGAAGCAUCUUCUCAAACAAGGAGCGACCCCUGUCAGGAACUCCACACUUGAACUCUAGAAUAGCUGUCUGUGUGAUAAAGUUAAUAUGUUUGUGCGCAGGAAGACUUAGCAAAGCACGAUUCACCACUGACUGGACUCCAUCUUGUUUUUGUUUCAAUAGCCACUGAGUCCGCCUAAGCCAAACCUUGCACGAAUGCUUGAACUUCUUAACCAUCUUGUUAAGAAGUUCAUCUGUGAGUUUGUGUUGCUCAGUCCUCUCAUACAUUCCUAACAAGGCCAAAUGCACUUUUUUGGGAUCACAAUACUGCAAUGCUCUUUGGAAUACUUUUGCAACAGCUUCCUCUGGGGGAUUUCCAUACUCGUUUUCUAAAUUGAAGAAGGCAACCCAAACAUUCAGCUUUUCUAACUCUUCUCGCACGUUUAUUGUCCUCAAAGCCCGUUCUGCAAUCGAUCGUGCCUUCUCAACAUCAGCCAAAGACAGCACAAAUGCCAUGUAUUUUAUCCAGACAAAGCUGCUAUUUGGGGAACUUCUAACUAAUUUCUCAAACUCAUCUUCAUCCCUUGGAAUAUCUUUUUCCAGUAAUCUUUCCUCAGCAGCUCUAAUUUCUUGUUCCCUCAAUCUUUUAGCUUUUUUUGCUACAUGUUUCUGGUUCUUGUCAUCUGAAGUACCGAAAUUGGUAGUAGCACCACCUGAGUUUUGAUUGACUACAUCACCCAUAUCCAAAUUUUCUGUAUCAUCAAGUGGGACCUCCAGUGGUGGUAUGGAUGCACGAGAUUCAACUUCAGCAAGGAACAGGUCCUUCCCAUCAACAGAUUCAUCAUCAAGAUCCUCCCGGCCUUGAGAGCUACUCUCGGGUGAUGAAGUUGAUUGAAUACCAAUGGGAAGAGCAUCUCCAUUCACUGCAUGACCAGAACUCGGCCUUGCAUAUGUUUCACCACUUGUAGCAUCAUUAAUAUAUGAAUUCUUCAUCCCUAGUGAAAUUCGAUGUCUUUCCUUAUCCACCUUCAAAAUCUUUGCCGUCACUCUAUCCCCAGCUUUAUGUCUAGAGUCAAUAUUGUCGACAUGAUCGUCAG